rnacentral:rRNA from 1 species
AGCCCGCUCAGAAACUCAAUGAAUUGAGGGGGCCCGCACAAGCGGUGGAGUAUGUGGUUAAUUCGAUGCAACGCGAAGAACCUUACCUGGUCUUGACAUCCCGGAGACCCUUAGGAAACUAGGGGGUGCUUCCAUCUGGAAGAAUCUGGAGACAGGUGCUGCAUGGCUGUCGUCAGCUCGUGUCGUGAGAUGUUGGGUUAAGUCCCGCAACGAGCGCAACCCUUGCCUUUAGUUGCCAGCAGUUCGGCUGGGCACUCUAAAGGGACUGCCGGUGUUAAACCGGAGGAAGGUGGGGAUGACGUCAAGUCCUCAUGGCCUUUAUGACCAGGGCUACACACGUACUACAAUGGCCGAUACAAAGGGCAGCGACACUGCGAGGUGAAGCCAAUCCCGUAAAAUCGGUCUCAGUCCGGAUUGGAGUCUGCAACUCGACUCCAUGAAGUUGGAAUCGCUAGUAAUCGUGGAUCAGCAUGCCACGGUGAAUACGUUCCCGGGCCUU